rnacentral:rRNA from 1 species
GUCCUGGCCGUAAAACGAUGGAUACUAGGUGUAGGGGGUAUCGACCCCCCCUGUGCCGCAGCUAACGCAAUAAGUAUCCCGCCUGGGGAGUACGGCCGCAAGGUUGAAACUCAAAGGAAUUGACGGGGGCCCGCACAAGCGGUGGAGCAUGUUGUUUAAUACGUCACUAACCGUAGAACCUUACCAGGGCUUGACAUCCGUCGACCGCCGGUGAAAGCCGGUUUUCCCCGCAAGGGGACGGCGAGACAGGUGUUGCAUGGCAGUCU